rnacentral:rRNA from 1 species
AGUGAGCGCUGGCGGUAGGCCUAACACAUGCAAGUCGAACGGCAGCACAGUAAGAGCCUGCUCUUACGGGUGGCGAGUGGCGGACGGGUGAGGAAUACAUCGGAAUCUACUUUUUCGUGGGGGAUAACGUAGGGAAACUUACGCUAAUACCGCAUACGACCUACGGGUGAAAUCAGGGGAUCUUCGGACCUUUCGCGAUUGAAUGAGCCGAUGUCGGAUUAGCUAGUUGGCGGGGUAAAGGCCCACCAAGGCGACGAUCCGUAGCUGGUCUGAGAGGAUGAUCAGCCACACUGGAACUGAGACACGGUCCAGACUCCUACGGGAGGCAGCAGUGGGGAAUAUUGGACAAUGGGCGCAAGCCUGAUCCAGCCAUACCGCGUGGGUGAAGAAGGCCUUCGGGUUGUAAAGCCCUUUUGUUGGGAAAGAAAAGCAGCAGGUUAAUACCCCGCUGUUCUGACGGUACCCAAAGAAUAAGCACCGGCUAACUUCGUG